rnacentral:rRNA from 1 species
AUUGAACGCUGGCGGCAGGCUUAACACAUGCAAGUCGAGCGGUAGCACAGGGGAGCUUGCUCCCUGGGUGACGAGCGGCGGACGGGUGAGUAAUGUCUGGGAAACUGCCUGAUGGAGGGGGAUAACUACUGGAAACGGUAGCUAAUACCGCAUAACGUCGCAAGACCAAAGAGGGGGACCUUCGGGCCUCUUGCCAUCAGAUGUGCCCAGAUGGGAUUAGCUAGUAGGUGGGGUAAUGGCUCACCUAGGCGACGAUCCCUAGCUGGUCUGAGAGGAUGACAAGCCACACUGGAAGGGAGACACGGUCCAGACUCCUGCGGGAGGCAGCAGUGGGGAAUAUUGCACAAUGGGCGCAAGCCUGAUGCAGCCAGGCGGCGUGUGUGGAGAAGGCCUUCGGGUUGUAAAGCACUUUCAGCGAGGAGGAAGGUGGUGAGCUUAAUACGUUCAUCAAUUGACGUUACUCGCAGAAGAAGCACCGGCUAACUCCGUG